AUUUAAAUAGUUUAAUAAAAACAUUGGUCUUGUAAACCAAAAUUAAGAUCUAAUCUUUUUAAAUA
rnacentral:tRNA from 1 species